rnacentral:tRNA from 1 species
GGUUGUGGCUCAGUGGUAGAGUGCUUGCCUAGCAUGCAUGAGGCACUGGGUUCAAUCCCUGGCACCA